CCUACGGGUGGCUGCAGUGAGGAAUAUUGGUCAAUGGACGAGAGUCUGAACCAGCCAAGUAGCGUGAAGGAUGACUGCCCUCUGAGUUGUACACUUCUUUUGUAUGGGAAUAAAACAGGGUAUGCAUACCCUCUUGUAUGUACCAUAUGAAUAAAGAUCGGCUAACUCAGUUCCAGCCGCCGCGGUAAUACGGCGGAUCCGCACGUUAUCCGGAUUUAUUGGGGUUAAAGUGAGCGUCUGUGGAUUGGUAAGUCAGUUGUGAAAUUUUGGGGCUCAACCGGAAAAUUGCGGUUGAAACUGGCAGUCUGGAGUACAGUAGAGGUGGGCGGAAUGCGAGGUGUAGCGGUGAAAUGCUUAGAUAUCACGAAGAACUCCGAUGGCGAAGGCAGCUCACUGGACUGCAACUGACACUGAUGCUCGAAAGUGUGGGUAUCAAACAGGAUUAGAUACCCCAGUAGUC
rnacentral:rRNA from 1 species